GAUCAUGGCUCAGGAUGAACGCUAGCUACAGGCUUAACACAUGCAAGUCGAGGGGCAGCAUGGUCUUAGCUUGCUAAGGCCGAUGGCGACCGGCGCACGGGUGAGUAACACGUAUCCAACCUGCCGUCUACUCUUGGACAGCCUUCUGAAAGGAAGAUUAAUACAAGAUGGCAUCAUGAGUCCGCAUGUUCACAUGAUUAAAGGUAUUUUCCGGUAGACGAUGGGG
rnacentral:rRNA from 1 species